rnacentral:rRNA from 1 species
GACAGAGGAUGCAAGCGUUAUCCGGAAUGAUUGGGCGUAAGCGUCUGUAGGUGGCUUUUUAAGUCCGCCGUCAAAUCCCAGGGCUCAACCCUGGACAGGCGGUGGAAACUACCAAGCUGGAGUACGGUAGGGGCAGAGGGAAUUUCCGGUGGAGCGGUGAAAUGCGCAGAGAUCGAAGGAAGAACAACCGGUGGAACGUAAGG